rnacentral:rRNA from 1 species
AAGUAGGUUUUAGUAUCCUCGGUCGUACACGAACGAACGCUGGCGGCAGGCUUAACACAUGCAAGUCGAACGCCCCGCAAGGGGAGUGGCAGACGGGUGAGUAACGCGUGGGAAUCUACCCAACCCUGCGGAAUAGCUCUGGGAAACUGGAAUUAAUACCGCAGUACGCCCUACGGGGGAAAGAUUUAUCGGGGAUGGAUGAGCCCGCGUUGGAUUAGCUAGUUGGUGGGGUAAAGGCCUACCAAGGCGACGAUCCAUAGCUGGUCUGAGAGGAUGAUCAGCCACAUUGGGACUGAGACACGGCCCAAACUCCUACGGGAGGCAGCAGUGGGGAAUAUUGGACAAUGGGCGCAAGCCUGAUCCAGCCAUGCCGCGUGAGUGAUGAAGGCCUUAGGGUUGUAAAGCUCUUUCACCGGUGAAGAUAAUGACGGUAACCGGAGAAGAAGCCCCCGGCUAACUUCGUG